rnacentral:rRNA from 1 species
GGUAUCCUACGGGAGGCAGCAGUGGGGGAUAUUGCACAAUGGGGGAAACCCUGAUGCAGCGACGCCGCGUGAGUGAAGAAGUAUUUCGGUACGUAAAGCUCUAUCAGCAGGGAAGAAUAAUGACGGUACCUGACUAAGAAGCCCCGGCUAACUACGUGCCAGCAGCCGCGGUAAUACGUAGGGGGCAAGCGUUAUCCGGAUUUACUGGGUGUAAAGGGAGCGUAGACGGCUGUGCAAGUCUGAAGUGAAAGCCCGG